rnacentral:rRNA from 1 species
AUCGAUGAAGAACGCAGCGAAAUGCGAUACGUAAUGUGAAUUGCAAAUUCAGUGAAUCAUCGAGUCUUUGAACGCACAUUGCGCCCCCUGGUAUUCCGGGGGGCAUGCCUGUCCGAGCGUCAUUGCUGCCCUCAAGCCCGGCUUGUGUGUUGGGCCCCGUCCUCCGAUUCCGGGGGACGGGCCCGAAAGGCAGCGGCGGCACCGCGUCCGGUCCUCGAGCGUAUGGGGCUUUGUCACCCGCUCUGUAGGCCCGGCCGGCGCUUGCCGAUCAACCCAAAUUUUUAUCCAGGUUGACCUCGGAUCAGGUAGGGAUACCCGCUGAACUUAAGCAUAUCAAUAAGCGGAGGAA